AAGCCGGAUUAUGGUGCCAAACUGCGCGCUAACCUAGAUCCCACAAAGGGUGUUGGUCGAUUUAGACAGCAGGAUGGUGGUCAUGGAAGUCAAAAUCCUCUAAGGAGUGUGUAACAACUCACCUGCCGAAUCAACUAGCCCCGAAAAUGGAUUGCGCUUAAGCGCGCGACCUACACCCGGCCGUCGGGGCAAGUGCCAGGCCCCGUUG
rnacentral:ncRNA from 1 species